rnacentral:rRNA from 1 species
AACGCGAAGAACCUUACCAGGUCUUGACAUCCUCUGACACUUCUAGAGAUAGGACGUUCCCCUUCGGGGGACAGAGUGACAGGUGGUGCAUGGUUGUCGUCAGCUCGUGUCGUGAGAUGUUGGGUUAAGUCCCGCAACGAGCGCAACCCUUGAUCUUAGUUGCCAGCAUUCAGUUGGGCACUCUAAGGUGACUGCCGGUGACAAACCGGAGGAAGGUGGGGAUGACGUCAAAUCAUCAUGCCCCUUAUGACCUGGGCUACACACGUGCUACAAUGGAUGGUACAAAGGGCUGCAAAACCGCGAGGUCGAGCCAAUCCCAUAAAACCAUUCUCAGUUCGGAUUGUAGGCUGCAACUCGCCUACAUGAAGCUGGAAUCGCUAGUAAUCGUGGAUCAGCAUGCCACGGUGAAUACGUUCCCGGGCCUUGUA